rnacentral:rRNA from 1 species
AGUGAACGCUGGCGGUAGGCCUAACACAUGCAAGUCGAACGGCAGCACAGUAAGAGCUUGCUCUUACGGGUGGCGAGUGGCGGACGGUUGAGGAAUACAUCGGAAUCUACUUUUUCGUGGGGGAUAACGUAGGGAAGCUUACGCUAAUACCGCAUACGACCUACGGGUGAAAGCAGGGGAUCUUCGGACCUUGCGCGAUUGAAUGAGCCGAUGUCGGAUUAGCUAGUUGGCGGGGUAAAGGCCCACCAAGGCGACGAUCCGUAGCUGGUCUGAGAGGAUGAUCAGCCACACUGGAACUGAGACACGGUCCAGACUCCUACGGGAGGCAGCAGUGGGGAAUAUUGGACAAUGGGCGCAAGCCUGAUCCAGCCAUACCGCGUGGGUGAAGAAGGCCUUCGGGUUGUAAAGCCCUUUUGUUGGGAAAGAAAAGCAGCAGGUUAAUACCCCGCUGUUCUGACGGUACCCAAAGAAUAAGCACCGGCUAACUUCGUG